CAUUGCACUCACAACAAUCACCCGGCCGUUCUGGGCCCCCGUGAAAAUGAAACAGAGAUUCUCCUCUCUCGACGUCAAGGUCAUAUCGAGGGAGCUCUCACAGGCUCUGGUUGGUCUACGAAUUUCUAACAUCUAUGACCUGCCAUAGCGAAUAUUCCUCUUCAAGCUAGCCAAACCAGACACAAGAAGGCAACUCAUCGUCGACACCGGCUUCAGAUGCCAUCUUACGAGGUACUCUCGCACUACUGCCGCUGCCCCCUCCUCAUUUACCAGUCGCUUGCGCAAGUUCCUGAAAACAAGAAGGGUCACAGCUGUCUCUCAAGUGGGCACAGAUAGGAUCAUUGAUAUCGAGCUUAGCGAUGGCAACUUCCAUGUCCUCCUAGAGUUCUAUGCGGCAGGAAAUAUUAUCCUAACCGACAAGGAGUAUAAGAUACUUGCACUUCACCGGAUUGUACCUGAAGGCAGCGACCAGGAAGAGGUUAGAGUGGGAUUGCAAUACGUUCUCACUAACAAGCAGAAUUACAAUGGAGUGCCGCCGUUAUCUAUUGAGAGAUUAAGGGAUGCAUUGGAAAAGUCGAAGGAUGUUACGGGACCCGCCGAGGCUGCGGGAAAGAACAAAAGAGCGAAAAAGAAGCAGGCUGAAGCUCUAAGGCGAGCUGUCUCGCUGGGAUUCCCGGAGUAUCCGCCUCUGCUUCUUGAACAUGCAUUCCAUAUAACUGGUUUCGACACGAGUCUGAAACCGGAGCAGCUGGUAGAAGAUCCCAAACUGGCGGAAAAGCUUAUGGUGGCGCUUGUGGUGGCAGAAAAUGUCAACUCCAGUCUUUCAACUGCGGAGGAAACGCCAGGGUAUAUUGUCUCGAAAACAGAAGGUAAAGCUGGAGAGGAUGCCUCGGUGGAUUCUACUGAUCCAUCCAAGUUGAGAAACGUGGCGUAUAUUGAUUUUCACCCUUUCGAGCCGAAGCAGUUUGAGAGUGAACCUGGAACAUCAAUUCUGAGGUUUGAUACGUUCAGCAAAGCAGUGGACGAGUACUUCUCGUCAGUCGAAUCACAGAAACUCGAAUCGAGACUUACUGAGCGUGAGGAGAUUGCAAAAAGAAAAUUAGAAGCUGCCCAGAAAGAUCAGGACAAGCGUGUUGGGGUGUUGAAGGAGGCUCAGGAACUUCACAUCCGCAAGGCGCAGGCAAUCGAAGCCAAUUUGCUGCGUGUUGAGGAGGCAAUAAAUGCCGUCAACGGGUUGAUAGCGCAGGGUAUGGACUGGGGCGAAAUUGCUCGUUUGAUAGAGAUGGAACAGAGUCGCCAGAAUCCCGUAGCCAAGGUUAUAAAAUUACCGCUGAAGUUGUACGAAAAUGCGGUUACCUUGCUUUUAGGGGAGCCUACGGAAAAUGAAGAACCGAUGGAUGAAUCUGAGGAGGAGGCGGAAGUGGAAGAGGAGGAAGAACAGGAAAGUAGCGAAGAUGAAGAUAGCGGGAAGAAGCCUGGAGUAUCCAAAAAAACACGGCAACCGCUACUAUCGAUUGAUAUUGAUCUUGGGAUCUCGCCCUGGGCAAAUGCGAGACAAUACUAUGAACAGAAGAAAGCUGCCGCAGUGAAAGAAGAGAAAACUCUCAAUUCCACCAAGACGGCUAUAAAAAGCACGGAAAAGAAGGUUGCUGCGGACCUUAAGCAGGCAUUGAAACAGGAAAAACCCGUCCUUCGGCCUACGAGGACACCGUUCUGGUUUGAAAAAUUCAUAUUUUUUUUGUCUUCUGAUGGAUAUCUUGUUUUGGGUGGCAGAGACGUCCAACAAACGGAAAUACUGUACCGACGACAUCUAAAAAGAGGGGAUGUGUUUGUACACGCUGAUGUGCAAGGAGCUAUUCCCAUCAUUGUCAAAAAUAAACCGGGCACCCCAGAUGCUCCUAUCCCACCGGGGACUCUUUCCCAAGCCGGCAACCUCUGCGUAGCAACUUCAACUGCAUGGGAUUCUAAAGCGGUAAUGGGGGCGUGGUGGGUGAAUGCCGAUCAAGUAUCCAAGACUACGCCAUUAGGUGAAUACCUUGUAACGGGUGGUUUUGUUAUCUGUGGCGAGAAAAAUCACCUUUCUCCGGCUCAGCUUCUCCUCGGGUUUGCGGUAAUGUUUCAAAUCAGCGGAGAAAGUAUCAAGAAUCAUACCAAGCAUAGAGUGCAGGAUGAGACUCCUAUCUCAGAGAGUGCGAAGGAUACUCUGGGGACUGAAGAACUACCCUCUGGUCUCGAUUUGGAAACGCCAAAAUACUCUAAAAUAAAUGAGACAGAUCAUCAGCAUCAAGAGUCUGAUGGUACGGAUCAAGAAAACGGGGAAAUUGAACAAAUUGCGGACAAUAAGCGAACAAAUCCCUUGUUGAAUGAUGGGGCCGAAUCGAAUCGUUCUGGUAGUGAAAGUGAGGAACCGAACAUUGGGGGAAAUGGAUCCCAAGAUGUCGACGCUAGAUAUGACAAGGGAUAUGAUAACUCUAGAUUCGAAGCUGUGGAAGUACCAAAAUUGGGACAAAUGGAAAACUUACCCAAGGAAGAGGCAAGCUCCGAACCGCAAACGGACUCCAUCACAGUACAACCUGCCAAACACCCCUUUGUCAGGGAAAGACGUCUGUUGAAAAAUGGGAUCAUCGAACAGGUCCCUGCGCGCCUGACUGAUCCUGCGUCCCAUUCGGCCACCAAUGUACCAUCACGUUCCUCAACUCCAUCCAUAGGGGCAUCAACCGCCACGCCAAACAUCCGCGGAAAACGCGGCAAAAACAAAAAAAUUGCCACCAAAUACCAGCACCAGGACGAGGAGGACCGUGAGCUCGCUCUCCGCCUCCUGGGUUCCGAUUCUAAGCCGGAUAAGCUUCGCGAAGCUGCCAAACGCAAGGCGGAUCGACUGGCCGAGCUUGAAGCCCAAAAGCAAAGACGUCGUGCACAGCACGAUCGAGCAGCUCAGGCUGAGCGAGAGCGACAAAAGGCAUUGCAACAACAAGCAGAGACACAAGCAGGUGGUGAUGAUGCUGACGGUGGUGAUACACAACUCGAUGCAGAUACUGCGGCUGAUCUUUCUUGUCUUCCUUCACUCAUUGGCACUCCUGUGGCAGGUGAUGAAAUCGUCGCAGCAAUUCCCGUCUGUGCACCCUGGACAGCCCUCAGCCAAUAUAAGUAUCGCGCCAAGUUACAGCCUGGGACUGUCAAGAAGGGGAAGGCUGUCAAAGAAAUUUUGGGAAAGUGGGUUGUUGAUGCGACAUCGGAGGCGAAUGCAAUAGAAAAAGGAAUGCGGAAAUGGAAGCGGAAGCAAGAUGACCACGAAAGUGAUGGCGAGGCUGUCAAUGAGAAUACGAACGAGGAAACAGGGAGAGAAAAUGAGGGUAAAGGAGAAGACCGCAACAGUCAUGGGCUUAAUCAGUUAGCGCAGGUAGAGCUUGAGCUUAUAAAGGGAUGGAGGGAUGUUGAAAUCAUGAAUACGCUCCCUGUAAGCAAGGUUAAGAUUGUUUCUGGCGGUGGCGGUGGUGGUGUAGGUGAAAAGGGCGGGGAACGGAAGGGUGCUAAAACCAGUGGAGGUGGAAGGAAGAGUGAGAAGAG
rnacentral:sRNA from 1 species